rnacentral:rRNA from 1 species
AGAGUUUGAUCAUGGCUCAGGACGAACGCUGGCGGCGUGCCUAACACAUGCAAGUCGAACGAAGCUUGACGAUAGAUUCUUCGGAUGAAAUCAGAUAUGACUGAGUGGCGGACGGGUGAGUAACGCGUGAGGAACCUGCCCUUCGGAGGGGGAUAGCGUCUGGAAACGGACGGUAAUACCGCAUAAUGUAUUUUGAUGACAUCAUUAAAAUACCAAAGCUUUUGCGCCGAAGGAUGGCCUCGCGUCUGAUUAGAUAGUUGGUGGGGUAACGGCCUACCAAGUCGACGAUCAGUAGCCGGACUGAGAGGUUGAACGGCCACAUUGGGACUGAGACACGGCCCAGACUCCUACGGGAGGCAGCAGUGGGGAAUAUUGCACAAUGGGCGCAAGCCUGAUGCAGCAACGCCGCGUGAAGGAAGACGGUUUUCGGAUUGUAAACUUCUGUUCUUAGCGAAGAAUAAUGACGGUAGCUAAGGAGCAAGCCACGGCUAACUACGUGCCAGCAGCCGCGGUAAUUC